UGAGGAAUACGUCUGUCGGUGACGCCGCCCCGUCGACGGGAUUUUGUUACGGUAGCCACAGCAGCUAAGACAGAUCUUCUGCUUUCAACUCUUUGGGGGGCUCCGUGCUUUUCCAGUUUGUUGCACUCAGCCCUGUUUCUAGUCUGACGCUUGCUUGGAGGAUUUCUUGCUUAGUGCCUGCCUGUCCAUACUAUGCCCGGAGCUCGCUAGAUGCAAGGGACAUUUGUUUUAUUCACUGCUAUACCCUCCGGCAUGACGCUCAACCAUAACAGGGGAGACCGGAACUGGCUGCGAUGAAUGCGAGGAAGUCUUUAUAAUGAACAGGAUCUCACUGCUGUUUACACAAACACUUUCAGCGACACGGGGAGCCAACAGACCAUUCCGCACGUCUGAUGAGUGCUUAUGGCCAGUGGCCACUGGAGCAGCACAGCCGAGAAGUCACGGCCACCAUCUCUUGCGAGACGCCAGGACAAGGUUUUUGGAGGACGAGUCUGGCAACAGUGU